CCCAGCUCGUCAUGCUAGAGCACUUUUUCAAUGUGCUCCCCAAUGAAAAGGCGACGACGCAUUCGUAUGUCAAUCCUUAUCAACUUUUGAUGCCAUUGUUGCGCAUACCAUGGUGACCAUGGGUAACGGGGAAUCAGGGUUCAAUUCCAUACAGGGACCCUGACAAAUGGCUACCACAUGCAAGGAAAGCAGCAGGUGCGCAAGUGACCCACUCUCGAGGUAGUGACG
rnacentral:rRNA from 1 species